UACGAAGGGUGCAAGCGUUAAUCGGAAUUACUGGGCGUAAAGGGUGCGUAGGCGGUUAUUUAAGUCUGCCGUGAAAUCCCCGGGCUCAACCUGGGAAUGGCGGUGGAUACUGGAUAGCUAGAGUGUGGCAGAGGAUGGUGGAAUUCCCGGUGUAGCGGUGAAAUGCGUAGAGAUCGGGAGGAACAUCAGUGGCGAAGGCGGCCAUCUGGACCAGCACUGACGCUGAGGCACGAAAGCGUGGGGAGCAAACAGG
rnacentral:rRNA from 1 species